rnacentral:rRNA from 1 species
UAGAUACCCUGGUAGUCCACGCCGUAAACGAUGUCAACUAGCCGUUGGAAUCCUUGAGAUUUUAGUGGCGCAGCUAACGCAUUAAGUUGACCGCCUGGGGAGUACGGCCGCAAGGUUAAAACUCAAAUGAAUUGACGGGGGCCCGCACAAGCGGUGGAGCAUGUGGUUUAAUUCGAAGCAACGCGAAGAACCUUACCUGGCCUUGACAUGCUGAGAACUUUCCAGAGAUGGAUUGGUGCCUUCGGGAGCU